rnacentral:rRNA from 1 species
UACAGAGGUGGCGAGCGUUGUUCGGAUUUACUGGGCGUAAAGCGUGCGUAGGCGGUCGCGUAUGUCGGAUGUGAAAUCCCGGGGCUCACCCCCGGAAGUGCAUCCGAAACUGCGCGGCUCGAGGCCGGGAUGAGUGACUGGAACACAUGGUGUAGCGGUGAAAUGCGUUGAUAUCAUGUGGAACACCGGAGGCGAAGGCGAGUCACUGGAACGGAUCUGACGCUGAGGCACGAAAGCGUGGGGAGCAAACAGG